rnacentral:lncRNA from 1 species
AGGAAGUUGUGGAUAAAUGUCAUUAAACGUGCGAAUUUGACUCCCACUAGAGAUUCAAGAGUUUACCAAAUAAUACAAUCAACUAUUUUUUUACGCUGUGAGGUAUAUGAAAAUUAAGGCGGACUUCGAAGUAUCAAUGUUUCUGUGGAAGUCUCCAGAAGGAUGAUGGCGUUUGGUACAUAAUGCAAUUACUACUUUAUUUGAACAGGCUAAUAUAAAAAAAACGAAAGCUCCCGUUUAACCGAAAAUUUCCUAAAAAUAUUAUUUAAGUUUAUAGUGUAAAAUUCAUUUAAGCAUUUAAUAUUUAAAAAGUAAAUUCGGCUCUUUCUUAACUUUAUAUUUAUUUAAAAAAAUUAAUUUUUAAUUGAAUUCUUUAAUAAAGAUUCGCAAAGUAU